ACCACAGCGCAUGCGCCGGGCCGUUGUGGGGCCCCGGGCCGGGGCCCCUUGGGUCCGCCGGGGCCCCGGGCCGGGCCGCCACGGGGGCCGGCCGUUGGCGGU
rnacentral:pre_miRNA from 1 species